AUCAAAAACAUAGUCGGUAGUUAAAUUAACACAUAUGAUAUUAUCGAUAUCUUCUGCCCGGUGUUUUUAAUAAACGGCCGCAGUACCUUGNNUGUGCUAAGGUAGCAUAAUCAAUUGGCUAUUAAUUGUAGUCUGGAAUGAAUGAAGGAAUGAAUAAAAACUAUAAUGAUAAGAUUUAGUUUAACUUAUUAAGUUAGUGAAAAUACUAACUAAUAGAAAAAAGACGAGAAGACCCUUAGAAUUUUUAAAUAAUUAUGGUUUAAGGAUUAAUCUGAGAUUAUGUUCUAAAGAAAAUCAAUACUUUUUUGUUGGGGCGACAGGAAAACAUAUAAUAAAACUUUUUGACAUAAUUAUUUGAUUCGACGAUAUUGUUAUGAAUAGCUAAAUUACCUUAGGGAUAACAGCAUAAUGAUAUAAUUUAGUUUGGGACCUCGAUGUUGGACUAGGAUCUUAACCACUAACAGUGUAAAAAGAUUGUUCUGUUCGAACAGAAAUUUCC
rnacentral:rRNA from 1 species